AUUCCAGCUCCAAUAGCGUAUAUUAAAGUUGUUGCAGUUAAAAAGCUCGUAGUUGAACUUCAGGCCUGGCCGGGCGGUCUGCCUAACGGUAUGUACUGUCUGGCUGGGUCUUACCUCUUGGUGAGCCGGCAUGCCCUUCACUGGGUGUGUCGGGGAACCAGGACUUUUACCUUGAGAAAAUUAGAGUGUUCAAAGCAGGCUUAUGCCCGAAUACAUUAGCAUGGAAUAAUAAAAUAGGACGUGCGGUUCUAUUUUGUUGGUUUCUAGAGUCGCCGUAAUGAUUAAUAGGGAUAGUUGGGGGCAUUAGUAUUCCGUUGCUAGAGGUGAAAUUCUUGGAUUUACGGAAGACUAACUAUUGCGAAAGCAUUUGCCAAGGAUGUUUUCAUCA
rnacentral:rRNA from 1 species